UUAAUUUUCUUGGGCGUUAAGCCCCGUCAAAACACCAAAAAAAAAAAAAAAACUUCUCAUAGCGUGAAGAGUGUCUUCCUUGCCUCCAUCGCAAAGUUGGCAGGCCCCAUUGCUUCUAAACAUUCUUGCCUUUCUUUGAUUGGUAAAUAUUCUAUCGUGCAUCAUCUUCCACAUGUGGAUUUUCGCCUUUUGUGGGGUCCUCCAUUGCCAGAGCUUGGUCCAGUUGUUUGUUACUGGGCUUGUCCACUUCGCUAGUGCCCAGAGCCUUGUAUGUUGAAGAGACCGAGAAAUCGCCAUCCUCUGAGUGCUUCCACGCCAGCCUAUUUUCUCCGUUUUCCUCUCGUGGUGGGGGCAGUGCCAGGAUUUUCAGCGCAAUAUCUUUAAUUAAAUAGUCUCUGAUUCCUUCUCCGUCCCAAUUUCCUGUUUCAUUCCUCCAUUCCCAAACUGUACUUUAUAGGUCAGGAUUUUGAUGGUUUGUAUAAUUGAGUAGGUUGUCUACUCCCUGCACUCAGCAAUCUGUCCAGAAUAGAAAAGUAUGUCCAUUUUCGAUCUGCUUCACUACUGAUUCCUUGAAGAUGGGCCAGAGCUUUGUUAAGUCCCUCCACAGGAUUGAAUCUCCUCUCUUUGCUUCUGGAAAAAUGACAUGGUUACUUCCAUUAUAGUAUUCCUGAAUAAGAACACUUGCCCAGAGAGAAUUGGGGUUCUCCCAAAUUUGCCAUAUGAUUUUUAAUAAGAAGGCUUCGUUCAUUUGGCUAAGAUUUCUAAACCCUAGCCCUCCCUCAUGUUUUAGGGAACAGAAGGUCUUCCAAUUGACUGAUUCUGCUGUGUUGCAUGUCAAAGUUGAUACUGGGGCAGAUGACUGCUUGAGCUAGAGUAAUUCUGCCGGCUAGAGAAAAACAUUUGCUUUUCCAGCCUUUUAGUUUUUCUUGCACCACCUUGUAGUUCUCAUUUCCUGAUAUGUUGUUGUUGAGCAUCGCUCCUAGGCAGCUAAAGUUAAUGACACCUCUCCUGAUAUUGUAUGGGCCGAACUUGACAUUUGCCGAGACGACUUAUACAGUAUUUACGAUGUAUGGAGUCAUCGAAUGCCGAUACUUCCAACGGAACACCGAGUAAAAGCUCUUUGCAUACGCCUGAUUCCCCUUACUUCUCUUUUUCUGACCCUUUUCCUCACUGACUAGGGGAUGAAUCUCUAGGUCUAGUAACCGAAAUCCAAGGGGGUGUUCGACAUGGCAGGCUCCAAGCUAAACCCUUCUUCGCUCCUCUACCAUGCAUAGUGUUUGUUUUUACUUUUUAGAGACUGGAAUUGGAAUUAGGAGAUUGGAAUUUAGUAUUAUGUUUGGUGGUGGUCAGGUAUUAGAACUAAAAUUUUAGUAUUGGAAUACAAAAUAAUCUCUUUAGUAACUUUAGAAAGUGAGAAUACAUGGGACUUAAGUUUUUGAGACGAAAAUUAAAAUUUUAAUAUAUUUUUUAAUAACUAA